CAGUCGCCACGGUAAUACGAAGGGUGCAAGCGUUACUCGGAAUUACUGGGCGUAAAGCGUGCGUAGGUGGUGGUUUAAGUCCGUUGUGAAAGCCCUGGGCUCAACCUGGGAAUUGCAGUGGAUACUGGGUCACUAGAGUGUGGUAGAGGAUAGUGGAAUUUCCGGUGUAGCAGUGAAAUGCGUAGAGAUCGGAAGGAACAUCUGUGGCGAAGGCGGCCCCCUGGACAAAGACUGACGCUCAGGUGCGAAAGCGUGGGGAGCAAACAGGAUUAGAUACCCCCGUAGUCCCUGUCUCUUAUAC
rnacentral:rRNA from 1 species